AUUGAACGCUGGCGGCAGGCCUAACACAUGCAAGUCGAGCGGAUGAAGGGAGCUUGCUCCUGGAUUCAGCGGCGGACGGGUGAGUAAUGCCUAGGAAUCUGCCUGUUAGUGGGGGAUAACGUCCGGAAACGGGCGCUAAUACCGCAUACGUCCAGAGGGAGAAAGUGGGGGAUCUUGGGACUCCACGCUAUCAGAUGAGCCUAGGUCGGAUUAGCUAGUUGGUGGGGUAAAGGCCAACCAAGGCGACGAUCCGUAACUGGUCUGAGAGGAUGAUCAGUCACACUGGAACUGAGACACGGUCCAGACUCCUACGGGAGGCAGCAGUGGGGAAUAUUGCACAAUGGGCGCAAGCCUGAUCCAGCCAUGCCGCGUGUGUGAAGAAGGUCUUCGGAUUGUAAAGCACUUUAAGUUGGGAGGAAGGGCAGUAAGUUAAUACCUUGCUGUAUUGACGUUACCAACAGAAUAAGCACCGGCUAACUUCGUG
rnacentral:rRNA from 1 species